CAGCCGCCGCGGUAAUACGUAGGUGGCAAGCGUUGUCCGGAAUUAUUGGGCGUAAAGGGCUCGCAGGCGGCUUCUUAAGUCUGAUGUGAAAGCCCCCGGCUCAACCGGGGAGGGUCAUUGGAAACUGGGAAACUUGAGUGCAGAAGAGGAGAGUGGAAUUCCACGUGUAGCGGUGAAAUGCGUAGAGAUGUGGAGGAACACCAGUGGCGAAGGCGACUCUCUGGUCUGUAACUGACGCUGAGGAGCGAAAGCGUGGGGAGCGAACAGGAUUAGAGACCCGCGUAGUCCCUGUCUCUUAUAC
rnacentral:rRNA from 1 species